UGAGCAACCUGCCCUUGACUCUGGAAUAACAGUUGGAAACAGCUGCUAAUACCGGAUACGACCUCCGAUGGCAUCAUCUGGAGGUGGAAAGCUCCGACGGUCAAGGAUGGGCUCGCGGCCUAUCAGCUUGUUGGUGAGGUAAUGGCUCACCAAGGCGACGACGGGUAGCCGGCCUGAGAGGGUGACCGGCCACACUGGGACUGAGACUCGGCCCAGACUCACGGGAG
rnacentral:rRNA from 1 species